rnacentral:lncRNA from 1 species
GAACUCCGUGCCUAGUGCCAGCCCUUUUAUGAAUAAUUUCACCUGCCAUUAGCCUGAUUUCACAUUUAUCUACUAAAUCUGUGUAGCUUCCUGCUGUGACGAUUUGGUGGCCAGAGGAGUAGAGAAACUGGCAACAAAAAAGCAUAGCAGUGGUGGGAUAUAAAAAGCUAGCUUUUGAAAAUGCAUGUUUACCAAGCACAGUACUAAAGCCAUAAUGUCUACUGGUUUUUAUGUAUAUUCCAGAGGCAAUGCAUAUUUCAAGAACACAGUGCUGUGGGCAUUCAGCUUGGAGAGUUCUCCGGUUUCCAGACCAAAAGCUGCAGUCUAUUAAGCCUAUAGAAGCAGAAAUUUGCCUUGCCAGGUGCAAACUUGUUGUCUGCAGAGACCGAGAGCCAAGAGUCUUCGACGCUGCUUCUGGGUAUGACACGUGACUUCAGGCAAGGGGGGGUUGGUAUUUUCUGGGAUUUUUGUUGUUGUUAUUUUCUC